UUUCCGUAGGUGAACCUGCGGAAGGAUCAUUACCGAGUGAGGGCCCUCUGGGUCCAACCUCCCACCCGUGUUUAUUUGCCUUGUUGCUUCGGCGAGCCUGCCUUUUGGCUGCCGGGGGACGUCAGUCCCCGGGUCCGUGCUCGCCGGAGACACCUUAGAACUCUGUCUGAAGAUUGUAGUCUGAGAUUAAAUAUAAAUUAUUUAAAACUUUCAACAACGGAUCUCUUGGUUCCG
rnacentral:misc_RNA from 1 species